GGGCGGGUAGUGUAGCGGUCAGCGUGUUCACUAUUACAAGCGUUAUAAGCGUUGCUUUUCCAGCGUUUAGCGAAAGUCCUGGGUUCGAAUCCCAGCCCGCCCA